CUCCUUUCAGUUUCACAGUUUCUCUCUUUCACCACUUCCAAUCAAUUCUAAAGAGAAACCAAGUGAGAGGGUGAAGCUUCGAGGAGAAGUUGCUGUGAUUUUCUUUUAACUAACAGAAGAAGCAUCAAGGGAGGUCUUUGGACGUCGUUUAAGACCAAGUCGAGGAACUUUCGGUUAAGGAAUUGCAUUUUGAGGGCCGCAAACCCUACUCGGAUUAGUGUACACAUAUGGAGAUCUUGAACUAGCCUUCGAG